rnacentral:rRNA from 1 species
AUUGAACGCUGGCGGCAUGCCUUACACAUGCAAGUCGAACGGCAGCACGGGUGCUUGCACCUGGUGGCGAGUGGCGAACGGGUGAGUAAUACAUCGGAACAUGUCCUGUAGUGGGGGAUAGCCCGGCGAAAGCCGGAUUAAUACCGCAUACGAUCUACGGAUGAAAGCGGGGGACCUUCGGGCCUCGCGCUAUAGGGUUGGCCGAUGGCUGAUUAGCUAGUUGGUGGGGUAAAGGCCUACCAAGGCGACGAUCAGUAGCUGGUCUGAGAGGACGACCAGCCACACUGGGACUGAGACACGGCCCAGACUCCUACGGGAGGCGGCAGUGGGGAAUUUUGGACAAUGGGCGAAAGCCUGAUCCAGUAAUGCCGCGUGUGUGAAGAAGGCCUUCGGGUUGUAAAGCACUUUUGUCCGGAAAGAAAUCCUUGGCCCUAAUACGGUCGGGGGAUGACGGUACCGGAAGAAUAAGCACCGGCUAACUACGUG